rfam:Felis catus isolate Cinnamon breed Abyssinian chromosome B2, whole genome shotgun sequence.
GCCUGGGUGGCUCAGUCGGUUGAGCGUCUGACUUCGGCUCAGGUCAUGAUCUCGCACUUCAUGAGUUCGAGCCCCACAUCGGGCU